rnacentral:rRNA from 1 species
UGCGGAGGGUGCAAGCGUUAUCCGGAUUCACUGGGUUUAAAGGGUGCGUAGGUGGGCUGGUAAGUCAGUGGUGAAAUCUCCAGGCUUAACUUGGAAACUGCCAUUGAUACUAUCAGUCUUGAAUACCGUGGAGGUCAGCGGAAUAUGUCAUGUAGCGGUGAAAUGCUUAGAUAUGACAUAGAACACCAAUUGCGAAGGCAGCUGGCUACACGAAUAUUGACACUGAUGCACGAAAGCGUGGGGAUCAAACAGG